rnacentral:lncRNA from 1 species
CGCCGGGAAAUACAAGUCAGCGAGAAAGAGAAAAUGAACCCUAGUUCUAACUGCCGAAAGUAUGUGUAGUCGAUUUCGGAUCCCUUUCUUGGUGCUUCUAGCCUUCCUUAUAUAGUCGAUCCGAUCCUCUUGACCUAGUUCGUCUUAUCUCCUUGGGCCUUCAGAAUAAAGCGCUUCGUCAAGCCGUUGAGGGGAGUGCUUUUAGUCGCUCGCUCGAGUCGCUUUAAAAGCAGUCGAGAGCCGUUCCCAUGUUCCGUCACCGAGCUGAGCCGACAAUCCGUAUUCUAGCGAGCCGGGCCUACUAACUGAUGGGCCUUGUGGGACGACGCAAUCCAGUCCAUAUAACUACCACCAACCAGGCACUUUCCAUCUUUUGGACAUGCGCUACCACCAACCAAUAGUUGUUGGGGCCAUGAUUUAAUAAUUUCUAUGGGUCUAGGCAUCAGGCAACCGGACAAUGUCCCCAAAUAAGAAUAUGUCAGCACACUAUUAGAUUAGUGUCUCUACCUAUGCUCCUAUUUGGGGUUUGAUGAAAAACCAAAAAAAAAAGCUUCUCUGUUUUGAUAAAAACCAAAGCAAAAAAAAAGCUCAUAUCUUGGAUUGGAUAAAAACCUUUGAAAAUCUUAUUAAAAGACGAAUUUUGUUGUUCAAUCAAGAAAACAAAAAAAAAAAGAGGAAGUAAAAAGAGCUUAUCUGUUUUGUUGCUUCGGCUGUUCGGCUCACAGAUUCGAACUUAUCUUCAGUUGAUAUGGCUUCUCCACACAAACACACACUGAAGAAAAGAAACAAAGAGAGACUAAAGUGAGAGAGACAUUAUUGCUUCUACGGUUGCAAACAACUAGAAGAACAAACUUACAACUCAAAACAACCCAAAAUCUCUCUUUGAAUAUUGAUUCACCAAUAUAUAUAUUCACAUCAACCUUUAAAUUAAAGUAAUCGUUCAAUCUGUUCACUUUGUAUGAUCAAUCGUAACUCGCAAGUCCCAUCCAUGAAUAAACUUCAAAUACCCCAAAUCUAAAGCACGAUCAAACUCUAGCAAAAGACAGAAAAGUACCUCAACGACGAGCGCUUCCGUGUAGAUUCAACAUCACUAAAACAAACAACGAACGAUUAAGGAAACUUGAAACCCUAACUCACAAAAUUGCAAAACAAGAUAGCACGAUCGCAUUAGUUUAACGCGAACCCUAAACAAGAUGAGAACGAACAAGAGCAAAUUCGAGAUCUAGAGAUUAGAGAAAUCGAAAAAAGCAUACUAAUCUAAGAAUCUCACCAGUUUGUAAGAAGAGAUAGAGAGAGACGAGACGAGAAGUAUGUCUUCAUUUGCAAUCGGCUCCUAACGGAUAUUAUAUAUUCAAAUACCAGAGCCGAGCCGGUAUGAGAUCUUUUGUUGAUCCGUUAGAUACUCCAAUCGGACGGUCCUGCAAUUUUCACUACUCUCAACCGUACGAUCUUACUUCACUCUCAACGGUCCGGCAUAUUAGAUGGGUUUCAAUAUGGGCCUAACGGAAUUUAUAAAUUAGGCCGAUAAAAAACGCACCAAUUCAAAUUUCAAAAAAUCUUAAAAUUUACUUUCUCCUACGCUCUCCUUCACCUUCGGUAUCCGUAUCUCACAACGUCCAUCUCUGCGAAUUUUUACACUCUUCCUUCUUCAAUGUCGAAUUCAAACACAUACCUAACCACACCGACCAGAACCCCCAUCUUCUAGAAGAAUAUCACUCGAAGAUGCAGUCUUCUACAUAAUAACGAUUUUAUAUAUUGACGAGAAUCCUUCUUACUUUCCUACAACAGGCGGCCCAGUAUCUGUCAUCUCUAUGGGCCUUUAGGUUAAAUUGUAAUUUGCCAUCUCCAACCCAACUCCAAAACACAAUUUUAGUGUGAUUUUGACACUAAAACCUUUUCCAAUCCAACUGCAAAAAUCACACCAUUUUAGUAUCACACUAUAAUUUUACACCAAAUUUGGUGUGACACUAUUCACUGCACUAUAACACUAUUCACUCCACUAAAACACUAUUUACUUAUUUUAUUAAUAAAUUGUACAAUUAAAUAAAUGAUAAAUAAAAAGUUAAAUAUAUAUAAUAUUAUAAAAUAACUUUUGGUGUGAAGUUUAGUGUUGUGGUUGGAGAAUAAUUUUUUUUUUUUUGUCAAAACUACACCAAAAUAGUGUAGUUUUGACACUAAAAUAGUGCUAUGGGUUAAAGAUGCUCUAAGGCAUUAAAGUUAGAUGGCUAUAGACCAACCAGCAAAACCUCCGGUCAUAGAGCAUGUGUGGAACCAGAAAGCCAUCUUAGAUGUUACGGAGUGUAUGGAACGGGUUCAUUUGGUUUAAAACAUCUUAUCUAUUAAUUUAGGGUCUUAAUUUUUAUCUACUAUUGAAAGGUCGUCAUUUAAAUUUGGACCUGUUCAGGAUAUUAUCAUUUAAUAUACACUCUCAUUAUACAAUCUAAUUAAUGUUGACCUAACUACUUAAUUUAAACCUGUAAUCAAAUCACUACUAAUUGAAAACACUAUUCACCGGUUUAAAAUACUAUGUUAUAUGUAUCAGACUAUUAUACUAAUAUGUUUGUAUCACUGUUUUGUAAUUGAAUCCAACUAAAUUAUGAUUUAGCAUAGCCUUUAAGGCUUUAACUUAUGUAUCUCAUUCUUAUAUUAACUAUUUUGCAUUACAUAAGACAUUAUUAUUAGCGUAAGUUAUAUAUAUUUCUAUUAUUCAUAACUUUUAUGAAAAAAUAUAUCAUUUAGACUACUGAUGCGUAACAAAAAAAAAAAUUUAUUAAUGAAAAUAACUUAUUUUGACGUUCAAUGUUUAUGAUGAACAUUAAUUACCUAUAGUAUAUCAUGUCAUUUUUUUUCUUUUUUUUGCUAACCUAUUAUCUUUUCUUAUACGGAAAUUAUUUCAAUAAAUUAUCCCAAGGAUAUUAGACGUCACUUUGUCAUAUAUUGACAACUCCAAAAUACAAACAAUAUAAAUAAUGAUCUCUCAUUCUUUAUGAAAUAUUAUCGGAAAUUAAUUAAUUAUUCAAUAGCCAAUACCAUUCCCAAAAACUAAUCAAAAUUUUCUGGAAAUCAAAUAUUUUUUAUAAUCAAAUCAAAUAGUCUUUUAUAUAUAUUCAUUAAUCUUUGAAACAUCCCACUUAAAUAGGACAGAAUAAAAACCUAAAAUCUUUUCAAAAUCUCGCCAUUUUUCCGAAAGUCUUUUUAUUUGAAAUCUAAGCUUUUAAGAAUGAAUCUUAACAAUAAACUUAAUUUUCCAAUUUUAGAAAUAUAAUCCAACAAGCGUGUUUAAAUUUUCAGUUUUUCAAAUAUGGUAUGUUUAAGGGACGACGCAAUCCAGUCCAUAUAACUACCACCAACCAGGCACUUUCCAUCUUUUGGACAUGCGCUACCACCAACCAAUAGUUGUUGGGGCCAUGAUUUAAUAAUUUCUAUGGGUCUAGGCAUCAGGCAACCGGACAAUGUCCCCAAAUAAGAAUAUGUCAGCACACUAUUAGAUUAGUGUCUCUACCUAUGCUCCUAUUUGGGGUUUGAUGAAAAACCAAAAAAAAAAGCUUCUCUGUUUUGAUAAAAACCAAAGCAAAAAAAAAGCUCAUAUCUUGGAUUGGAUAAAAACCUUUGAAAAUC